rnacentral:rRNA from 1 species
CGUAGGCGGUCUUUUAAGUCAGGUGUGAAAGCCCGGGGCUCAACCCCGGAAGUGCACUUGAAACUAAGAGACUUGAGUAUGGGAGAGGGAAGUGGAAUUCCUGGUGUAGCGGUGAAAUGCGUAGAUAUCAGGAGGAACAUCGGUGGCGAAGGCGACUUCCUGGACCAAUACUGACGCUGAGCGCGAAGGCGUGGGGAGCAAACA